UACGUAGGGGGCAAGCGUUGUCCGGAUUUAUUGGGCGUAAAGAGCGUGUAGGCGGCUAGAUAGGUCCGUUGUGAAAACUCGAGGCUCAACCUCGAGACGUCGAUGGAAACCAUCUGGCUAGAGUCCGGAAGAGGAGAAUGGAAUUCCCGGUGUAGCGGUGAAAUGCGUAGAUAUCAGGAGGAAUACCGAUGGCGAAGGCAGGUCUCUGGGCUGACACUGACGCUCAUGCACGAAAGCGUGGGGAGCAAACAGG
rnacentral:rRNA from 1 species